CUGAACUAGAAUAAUCCCCUCAAAUCUAUGUGCUUUGCUAGUCCAUAUUAAAUCCUUUUUUAUCUCUGCAGCAAAAUCGUCUUUUUAUUUCAGAGGGAUGCAUCCUGUAAAACAUCCUAUUGUCCAUUUCUGAAAAGACCCCAAGGUGAUGCUUUCUGUGACUUCGGAAUGAGAGCAACGGGGUGAGAUACUAGGAAAUUUUAAUGUAACCAACAAAUAAGUUAA
rnacentral:lncRNA from 1 species